UGGUGAUCCUCCAUGUGCCACGUAUGGAUGGAUCUCGAGAUAGAAAUUCGAUUAUCAUCUCUCUUGGAAUUGGGCACGCACCGUUGCCCACGCCUCCUGGAAACGCCACCAAAGGGGACUCACCAUCCCCUUAUGAUCGAAUCAGCAAGGAAAUUGAAUUUUUCCGUAUCUCCGCCAUCGAUCUUUGCCGACUUAUCGUCCCGGAAAAAUGAGUCCCGAGAGGGGGGAGAGAGAGAAAGAGA